AUUGAACGCUGGCGGCAGGCCUAACACAUGCAAGUCGAGCGGAGCGGCGGACGGGUGCGUAAUGCCUAGGAAUCUGCCUGGUAGUGGGGGAUAACGUCCGGAAACGGGCGCUCAUACCGCAUACUAUCAGAUGAGCCUAGGUCGGAGUAGCUAGUUGGGGGGGUAAAGGCCUACAAAGGGGACGAUCCGUAACUGGUCUGAGAGGAUGAUCAGUCAAACUGGAAAGGGGACACGGUCCUGCCUCCUGCGGGAGGCAGCAGUGGGGAAUAGUGGAGAAGGGGCGAAAGCCUGCUCCAGACAUCGAGCAUGGGAGAAGAAGGGCUUCGGAUUGGAAAGCACGUUAAGCUGGGCGGCGUUACCAACAGAAUAAGCAACGGCUAACUUCGUGCAAGCCGCCGCGGUAAUUC
rnacentral:rRNA from 1 species